UUCCAAGGUGAUUCCCUCUCCAAGGGGCCAAGUAGUACUCCCUCACUCCACCCCUAAGAACUUGGAAUAAAAUCUGGCAUGCCCAAGGUCUGUGGGGGUGAGGAAAUGUUUUAUUUUGACCUUUUGACUGGACAGAAUA